rnacentral:rRNA from 1 species
UACUGUAGGUCUGCGUGGGUUUCUAGCCUCCGGGUUGGGAGCAUUCUGCAGGCUUAUGUAUACUAUAAACACUUUAAAGUAACAGAAUGUAAACGCGUCUAACGCAUUUUAAUACAACUUUCAGCAACGGAUCUCUUGGCUCUCGCAUCGAUGAAGAACGCAGCGAAAUGCGAUAAGUAAUGUGAAUUGCAGAAUUCAGUGAAUCAUCGAAUCUUUGAACGCACCUUGCGCUCCUUGGUAUUCCGAGGAGCAUGCCUGUUUGAGUGUCAUGAAAUUCUCAACCCAUAAAUCCUUGUGGAAGUAUGGGCUUGGAUUUGGAGGUUUGCUGGGUCCCCUGGGGUCCGGCUCCUCUCGAACGCAUUAGCUUGAUUCCGUGCGGAUCGGCUCUCAGUGUGAUAAUUAUCUACGCUGUGACCGUGAAGCGUUUGGCGAGCUUCCAACCGUCUUUUUUGGACAACCUUAUGACAUCUGACCUCAAAUCAGGUAGGACUACCCGCUGAACUUAAGCAUAUCA